rnacentral:rRNA from 1 species
GACGAACGCUGGCGGCGUGCUUAACACAUGCAAGUCGAACGGAAAGGCCCUGCUUUUGUGGGGUGCUCGAGUGGCGAACGGGUGAGUAACACGUGAGUAACCUGCCCUUGACUUUGGGAUAAAUUCAGGAAACUGGGGCUAAUACCGGAUAGGAGCUCCUGCUGCAUGGGGGGGGUUGGAAAGAUUCGGCGGUUGGGGCUGGUCUCGCGGCUUAUCAGCUUGUUGGCGGGGUAGUGGCUUACCAAGGCUUUGACGGGUAGCCGGCCUGGGAGGGUGACCGGCCACAUUGGGACUGAGAUACGGCCCAGACUCCUACGGGAGGCAGCAGUGGGGAAUAUUGCACAAUGGGCGGAAGCCUGAUGCAGCAACGCCGCGUGCGGGAUGACGGCCUUCGGGUUGUAAACCGCUUUCGCCUGUGACGAAGCGUGAGUGACGGUAAUGGGUAAAGAAGCACCGGCUAACUACGUG